AAGACUUCAAUAUGUCAAAUCACAUUUUACAUGUACUCAUCUGUAUAUUGUUAUUAAACAUUGCAAGCCGAGAUAUUAGAUAUUUAUUAGUGCUCUUUUCUUAGUUCUGAAAUAUUUACAAUUGCACAGUUUAAUAUUUACUAUUUCAUAUUCAUUAAAUUGUUAAUUAAGUGGAUGAUUAUAAAGAAAGGUCGAGCAGUAUUCUUAAGGUUAUAUGAUAAAUGCAGCAAACGAAUGACGAUGGUGAUAAUUGUGUCAGCAGAAAUUUUGAAUCUCUUCUGAAUGCUGGUGAUAUUGAGGUAAAGUUUGAAGCAGUUAUUAUCUACAGAGAAGCAACUACUGUGUAAUCUGCUCUCGGUUUUCUUAUUCAAAAGAAAUGGAUGCUCAUACAACGGAUAAACAUGUAUCAUCAAUUGUUCUUGAAAAAUAGACUCUGUUUUGGAUGCUUAACGUGAAUGGAACGUUGCCUUUAUCUCUACAUAAAUACUGUUACCUCCAUCACAAUUGUAAAUACAUAUUUAAUUUAUUCUAGUACUUAAAAGUAUCCUCGGAUAGUUAUGUAUUUACAGUAUUUAUUAAUAAAAUAAUUUAUACAACAAGGAAAAACAUCUUCUCCAAA